GCCGCGUGCUGGGGGGAUUAGUGGCGAACGGGUGAGUAACACGUGAGUAACCUGCCCUUGACUCUGGGAUAAGCCUGGGAAACUGGGUCUAAUACCGGAUAUGACUGCUCCGCGCAUGCGGUGGUGGUGGAAAGCUUUUGCGGUUUUGGAUGGACUCGCGGCCUAUCAGCUUGUUGGUGGGGUAAUGGCCUACCAAGGCGACGACGGGUAGCCGGCCUGAGAGGGUGACCGGCCACACUGGGACUGAGACACGGCCCAGACUCCUACGGGAGGCAGCAGUGGGGAAUAUUGCACAAUGGGCGAAAGCCUGAUGCAGCGACGCCGCGUGAGGGAUGACGGCCUUCGGGUUGUAAACCUCUUUCAGUAGGGAAGAAGCGUAAGUGACGGUACCUGCAGAAGAAGCGCCGGCUAACUACGUGCCAGCAGCCGCGGUAAUACGUAGGGCGCAAGCGUUAUCCGGAAUUAUUGGGCGUAAAGAGCUCGUAGGCGGUUUGUCGCGUCUGCUGUGAAAGACCGGGGCUCAACUCCGGUUCUGCAGUGGGUACGGGCAGACUAGAGUGAUGUAGGGGAGACUGGAAUUCCUGGUGUAGCGGUGAAAUGCGCAGAUAUCAGGAGGAACACCGAUGGCGAAGGCAGGUCUCUGGGCAUUAACUGACGCUGAGGAGCGAAAGCAUGGGGAGCGAACAGGAUUAGAUACCCUGGUAGUCCAUGCCGUAAACGUUGGGCACUAGGUGUGGGGGACAUUCCACGUUUUCCGCGCCGUAGCUAACGCAUUAAGUGCCCCGCCUGGGGAGUACGGCCGCAAGGCUAAAACUCAGAGGAAUUGACGGGGGCCCGCACAAGCGGCGGAGCAUGCGGAUUAAUUCGAUGCAACGCGAAGAACCUUACCAAGGCUUGACAUGAACUAGUANAGCGCAGAUGUGUUCCCCUCUGAGCUGGUUACAGUGGUGCAUGUUGUCGUCAGCUCGUGUCGUGAGAUGUCGGGUAGA
rnacentral:rRNA from 1 species